rnacentral:rRNA from 1 species
AGUCGAGGGGCAGCAUGGUCUUAGCUUGCUAAGGCUGAUGGCGACCGGCGCACGGGUGAGUAACACGUAUCCAACCUGCCGUCUACUCUUGGCCAGCCUUCUGAAAGGAAGAUUAAUCCAGGAUGGGAUCAUGAGUUCACAUGUCCGCAUGAUUAAAGGUAUUUUCCGGUAGACGAUGGGGAUGCGUUCCAUUAGAUAGUAGGCGGGGUAACGGCCCACCUAGUCAACGAUGGAUAGGGGUUCUGAGAGGAAGGUCCCCCACAUUGGAACUGAGACACGGUCCAAACUCCUACGGGAGGCAGCAGUGAGGAAUAUUGGUCAAUGGGCGAUGGCCUGAACCAGCCAAGUAGCGUGAAGGAUGACUGCCCUAUGGGUUGUAAACUUCUUUUAUAAAGGAAUAAAGUCGGGUAUGCAUACCCGUUUGCAUGUACUUUAUGAAUAAGGAUCGGCUAACUCCGUGCCAGCAGCCGCGGUAAUACGGAGGAUCCGAGCGUUAUCCGGAUUUAUUGGGUUUAAAGGGAGCGUAGAUGGAUGUUUAAGUCAGUUGUGAAAGUUUGCGGCUCAACCGUAAAAUUGCAGUUGAUACUGGAUGUCUUGAGUGCAGUUGAGGCAGGCGGAAUUCGUGGUGUAGCGGUGAAAUGCUU